CACAGGUUUGGUCCUGGCCUUUCCAUUAGCUGUAGGUAAGUCUACACAUGCAAGUAUCCGCCCCCCAGUGAAGAUGCCCCUCAGGCCACCUGGCGGCCAGAAGGAGCAGGCAUCAAGCGCACCACUAAGGUUGCUCAUAACGCCUUGCUUUAGCCACACCCCCACGGGAAACAGCAGUGAUAGAGAUUAAGCAAUGAACGAAAGUUUGACUAAGUUAUGCCUACUGAGGGUUGGUAAAUUUCGUGCCAGCCACCGCGGUCACACGAUUAACCCUAGUUAAUGGACAUACGGCGUAAAGUGUGUUUAAGGAAAUCAUAAAAAUAAAGCUAAACCCUGGCUACGCUGUAAAAAGCCCCAGCCACUGUAAACCCCCCCACGAAAGUGACUUUAUAAUACCUGAAGACACGACAGCUAAGACCCAAACUGGGAUUAGAUACCCCACUAUGCUUAGCCCUAAACCCAUAGGAUUUAAUACAACAAAAUCCUUCGCCAGAGUACUACAAGCCAUAGCUUAAAACUCAAAGGACUUGGCGGUGCUUCACAUCCACCUAGAGGAGCCUGUUCUAUAACCGACAAACCCCGAUAAACCUCACCAACCCUUGCCAACCCAGCCUAUAUACCGCCAUCUUCAGCAAACCCUAAAAAGGAAGCAUAGUAAGCUUAAUCAUAACACGUAAAAACGUUAGGUCAAGGUGUAGCCCAUGGGUUGGGAAGAAAUGGGCUACAUUUCCUUCACCCAGGACAUCCACACGAAAGCCCCUGUGAAACCAGUGGCCAAAGGAGGAUUUAGCAGUAAACUAAGAAUAGAGUGCUCAGUUGAACAAGGCCAUGGAGCACGCACACACCGCCCGUCACCCUCCUCAAAUACCAACAGUACACCCACGACCCUAUCAACAUGUACUAUACCUAUCAGAGGAGACAAGUCGUAACAUGGUAAGCGUACUGGAAAGUGCGCUUGGAUAACC
rnacentral:ncRNA from 1 species